rnacentral:sRNA from 1 species
AGCAGCCGCGGUAAUUCCAGCUCCAAUAGCGUAUAUUAAAGUUGUUGCAGUUAAAAAGCUCGUAGUUGAAUUUCGGGAUUAGUACGUUGGUCGUGCCUUGGUACGUACUGGUGUAACUGAUUCCUCCCUUCUGACGAACCGUUAUGCCAUUAAUUUGGUGUGGCGGGAAAUCAGGACUGUUACUUUGAAAAAUUAGAGUGUUUAAAGCAGGCUCGCGCUUGAAUACAUUAGCAUGGAAUAAUGAAAUAGGACGUUAAUCCUAUUUUGUUGGUUUCUAGGAUCGACGUAAUGAUUAAUAGGGAUAGUUGGGGGCAUUAGUAUUCAAUUGUCAGAGGUGAAAUUCUUGGAUUUAUUGAAGACUAACUACUGCGAAAGCAUUUGCCAAGGAUGUUUUCAUUAAUCAAGAACGAAAGUUAGGGGAUCGAAGACGAUCAGAUACCGUCGUAGUCUUAACCGUAAACUAUGCCGACUAGG